UACGAAGGGGGCUAGCGUUGUUCGGAAUUACUGGGCGUAAAGCGCACGUAGGCGGAUAUUUAAGUCAGGGGUGAAAUCCCAGAGCUCAACUCUGGAACUGCCUUUGAUACUGGGUAUCUGGAGUAUGGAAGAGGUGAGUGGAAUUCCGAGUGUAGAGGUGAAAUUCGUAGAUAUUCGGAGGAACACCAGUGGCGAAGGCGGCUCACUGGUCCAUUACUGACGCUGAGGUGC
rnacentral:rRNA from 1 species